rnacentral:rRNA from 1 species
UACAGAGGUCUCAAGCGUUGUUCGGAUUCAUUGGGCGUAAAGGGUGUGUAGGUGGCGCGCUAAGUCGGGUGUGAAAUUUCGGAGCUUAACUCCGAAACUGCAUUCGAUACUGGCGUGCUUGAGGACUGGAGAGGAGACUGGAAUUCAUGGUGUAGCAGUGAAAUGCGUAGAGAUCAUGAGGAAGACCAGUGGCGAAGGCGGGUCUCUGGACCACAACUGACGCUGAGGCGCGAAAGCUAGGGGAGCAAACAGG